rnacentral:lncRNA from 12 species
UCAAGAUCUCACUGACCUUUGUGCACUGGCAGCAUCGGACGUAGCCAAGGAGUUUAUCCGAGGCGCGAGUAUCGCGAAAGAUCUAACCGACUUUAUUAAACGAUUCACAAAUCAGGUCACAUCCCAUCUAGCAAAUAGAAGAAGCUGCGAGGAAUGGUACUACCUGGAAGGUGCUGACAGCCGGACGCUGGGGCAAGCAACUCGUUAGCAGACGGAAAGGAUUGUUCCGGGAAAGACCACUUUGCCUUGGGGGAGAGGCAAGCGGUCUUAUCUGCUCGGGACUCCCUCCCUGCCCAAGGGGAAGACUGGCACUAACAACAACAGCAACAAAAAGCCUGACUACUGGUAAAGACUACUUUUCUGGAGAAAUUCGAAACUGCAAUUAUUUGUUUAAUAUUUUUGCUUACAAUUUCUUUUUUUUACACAUUUUAUUUUUUUAAGUAAACUCCACACCCAGUGUGGGGCUGGAACCCACAACCAUAAGAUCAAGAGUUACACACUUUACUCAGCUAGCCAGGUGCCCCUAAAUUGGAAUUAGAUUAAUAUUAAUCCACAAUUUAGGAACUCAAUGGAAUUGAUAUCAUUCUCGGGGUCUAUGGUUUUCUUUUUAACACUGGGGCAGCAAAAUCCCCCCUCCACCCCAACCCACCCUGACUGUCAUACCUUGAGAAUCACUGCUUUAUAAGAUACAUGGGACAGCAGACUUCACUGAAGAAGAUGACUUGGCCUCUAAACACAAAUACUCCUGGGAACAAACUGUCAAGCAUUCAAGAGAGCCAAGUAGCAAAGGUUUUGUAUUUUGCUUCUCUACCCUGGCAAUUCUCCACAAGGCUUGGGACAGUGUUGGGGUUUGAAGCAGAACUUCUGGCAGCAUUCAAUAAGAAAACUGGGCAUGCUCUCAUGAUCCCUUCGAAAUCACCGUCUUUCUCACAUUUCCAAGGCUAUAGGUGGAUAACGGCUACUGCUAGUGAGGAUCUCAGAAGCCAAACGGCUGCAAAAAUUGGUGGGUGUGGGCCAAGCACUUAAAGGCUAUUAGAACACUUGCCACCUCAGGAAGACUCCCAUGAUAGGGUAGGUUGGUCAUGAAAUGGGUUAGAUGGACACUAGGCCACCCACCAGCAUCAAGAAAACUGCUAUGCAGCAGGGUACACUGUAAAACACGCAUAAUCCUCAAGCCUGUGGCCCAACCUUUUCAGGUACUAGUUCAGCUCCGAGAAACCCAAAGACUUAGCUAAUGGGAUCCUUAAAUUCUAGAGUCAAGCAUGCUACCCUCUAGCACAUCUGCUUGUUUUAUGUUCAAGAACUAUAGUCCUGAAAGAUGUAGAUAUCUAGCAAAAACAGAAAAAUCUUACUAAGCUUAAGUCCUUAGGAAUUUGGGAUAACUAUCAGGUAAGUUCCCCCAAAUAAGGCAGGACAUAAGUGAGUUGCAAAAUGAACAAACCUUUUAGAAUCUCUAAAAGGAAGAAAGAAAGUUUUAUUUGAGCCUCAAUUAGGACAGCUGACCAAGAAACAGGAUCUUCACAAAGGGAGUGCUCUGGAAAAUGAACAGUUCUUAUAGGGUUAAAUACAUUUCAUAUAUUGCAAAAAAAUCAAGAGACUAAAUAUUAACAAAUAGGCAGGAUAACGAGUUGUAACAUCAAGGAAUGCAGGGAUUAGAAUCAUUGUCUUAAGGACCAGAUAGUUCCCCUAUUCAUUUACCAAGGAGAUAUAUAAUGCAUGCUUGGAUGACUGGAGGUCAACCCCACCCCAGAUAUGUAACCUUUAACCAGUCACCAUGGGGAUUUCCUGGUCAGCAUUAGGAUAAUUAAUGAUAGACACCCUCUAAUCUUCUUAGGAGGGCAACCUUGCCUAGAACAAUGGAUUCUUUGGUAGUUUCCUUUUUUUUUUUACUCCUCUGUCUUUAAAAACUUUUUCUGCAGCCUUUUGGAGCGUAUAGAACAGGUUUAUAUGGCAGUACAUGUGCUGGAGACUGUGACUCUUCAUGAAUGAGCUCAAAUUGAGGAUGGAAGAAUCUGAGAAUGAGAGACUAAUACUUUUCCAGAAUAAAUCAGCACACCAACCAACA